GAGUUUGAUCCUGGCUCAGGAUGAACGCUAGCGACAGGCCUAACACAUGCAAGUCGAGGGGUAUAAGUAGCUUGCUACUUAGAGACCGGCGCACGGGUGAGUAACGCGUAUGCAACCUACCUUUUACUGGGGGAUAGCUCAAAGAAAUUUGGAUUAAUACCGCAUAACAUAUUUGAAUCGCAUGGUUUAAAUAUUAAAACUUCGGUGGUAAAAGAUGGGCAUGCGUAGCAUUAGUUAGUUGGUGAGGUAACGGCUCACCAAGACUAUGAUGCUUAGGGGGUCUGAGAGGAUAGUCCCCCACACUGGUACUGAGACACGGACCAGACUCCUACGGGAGGCAGCAGUGAGGAAUAUUGGUCAAUGGGCGCAAGCCUGAACCAGCCAUGUCGCGUGCAGGAUGACGGCCCUAUGGGUUGUAAACUGCUUUUUUACAGGAAUAAACUUUGUUACGUGUAGCAAACUGAGGGUACUGUAAGAAUAAGGAUCGGCUAACUCCGUGCCAGCAGCCGCGGUAAUACGGAGGAUCCAAGCGUUAUCCGGAUUUAUUGGGUUUAAAGGGUCCGUAGGCGGGCUUUUAAGUCAGUGGUGAAAUCCCAGAGCUCAACUCUGGAACUGCCAUUGAUACUGAAGGUCUUGAAUUUAGUUGAGGUGGGCGGAAUACGUUAUGUAGCGGUGAAAUGCAUAGAUAUAACGUAGAACACCGAUUGCGAAGGCAGCUCACUAAGCUAACAUUGACGCUGAUGGACGAAAGCGUGGGGAGCGAACAGGAUUAAAUACUCUGGUAGUCCACGCCGUAAACGAUGAUUACUCGUUGUGCACGAUACACUGUGCGUGACUGAGCGAAAGCAUUAAGUAAUCCACCUGGGGAGUACGUUCGCAAGAAUGAAACUCAAAGGAAUUGACGGGGGCCUGCACAAGCGGAGGAACAUGUGGGUUUAAUUCGAUGAUACGCGAGGAACCUUAUC
rnacentral:rRNA from 1 species